rnacentral:rRNA from 1 species
GACGUAGGGGGCGAGCGUUGUCCGGAUUUAUUGGGCGUAAAGCGUGCGUAGGCGGCUGCGCAAGUCGGUUGUGAAACCCCGGGGCUCAACCCCGGAACUGCAUCCGAUACUGCGUGGCUAGAGGUAGGUAGGGGAGAUCGGAAUUCCUGGUGUAGCGGUGAAAUGCGCAGAUAUCAGGAGGAACACCGGUGGCGAAGGCGGCUCUCUGGAACGCAACUGACGCUGAGACGCGAAAGCGUGGGGAGCAAACAGG